AGUGAACGCUGGCGGUAGGCCUAACACAUGCAAGUCGAACGGCAGCACAGUAAGAGCUUGCUCUUACGGGUGGCGAGUGGCGGACGGGUGAGGAAUACAUCGGAAUCUACUUUUUCGUGGGGGAUAACGUAGGGAAACUUACGCUAAUACCGCAUACGACCUACGGGUGAAAGCAGGGGACCUUCGGACCUUGCGCGAUUGAAUGAGCCGAUGUCGGAUUAGCUAGUUGGCGGGGUAAAGGCCCACCAAGGCGACGAUCCGUAGCUGGUCUGAGAGGAUGAUCAGCCACACUGGAACUGAGACACGGUCCAGACUCCUACGGGAGGCAGCAGUGGGGAAUAUUGGACAAUGGGCGCAAGCCUGAUCCAGCAAUACCGCGUGGGUGAAGAAGGCCUUCGGGUUGUAAAGCCCUUUUGUUAGGAAAGAAAAGCAGUAGGUUAAUACCCCGCUGUUCUGACGGUACCCAAAGAAUAAGCACCGGCUAACUUCGUG
rnacentral:rRNA from 1 species